rnacentral:rRNA from 1 species
UAUCCAACCUGCCCACCACUUGGGGAUAACCUUGCGAAAGUAAGACUAAUACCCAAUGACGUCUCUAGAAGACAUCUGAAGGAGAUUAAAGAUUUAUCGGUGAUGGAUGGGGAUGCGUCUGAUUAGCUUGUUGGCGGGGUAACGGCCCACCAAGGCGACGAUCAGUAGGGGUUCUGAGAGGAAGGUCCCCCACAUUGGAACUGAGACACGGUCCAAACUCCUACGGGAGGCAGCAGUGAGGAAUAUUGGUCAAUGGGCGAGAGCCUGAACCAGCCAAGUAGCGUGCAGGAUGACGGCCCUAUGGGUUGUAAACUGCUUUUAUAAGGGAAUAAAGUGAGUCUCGUGAGACUUUUUGCAUGUACCUUAUGAAUAAGGACCGGCUAAUUCCGUGCCAGCAGCCGCGGUAAUACGGAAGGUCCGGGCGUUAUCCGGAUUUAUUGGGUUUAAAGGGAGCGUAGGCCGGAGAUUAAGCGUGUUGUGAAAUGUAGACGCUCAACGUCUGCACUGCAGCGCGAACUGGUUUCCUUGAGUACGCACAAAGUGGGCGGAAUUCGUGGUGUAGCGGUGAAAUGCUUAGAUAUCACGAAGAACUCCGAUUGCGAAGGCAGCUCACUGGAGCGCAACUGACGCUGAAGCUCGAAAGUGCGGGUAUCGAACAGGAUUAGAUACCCUGGUAGUCCGCACGGUAAACGAUGGAUGCCCGCUGUUGGUCUGAAUAGGUCAGCGGCCAAGCGAAAGCAUUAAGCAUCCCACCUGGGGAGUACGCCGGCAACGGUG